UGGGAAACCAAACCAUAGUUGUUUCUUUGUUUGUUUGCUUUUUAGAAAAUGGAAGAACUAGCUUUCUUUCAAAUACCCAACAGGAUUUAAGUCAAUCAUCAUCUUGAAGCCAACAGCAGGGUAAAUCGCAAUGGGUUGACGUUCAGCAAAUGGAGCCUUUCACCUCAUGACAGAUACCUGGAAGAUGGGCGUCAAGACUUCUAGAAAAGGAGGGACUCACUACUUCCAGUGGAAGCACAUUCUACUUUUGGAUAGCUCUGAUUACUAACUAUGACUCCGGCCAGAAACAAAUCGCUCUACCUGCGGCCCACAUAUGAGCACCAGAUGGCCCCCUGCGCCCGAACCGCUCCCCACCUCCGCCUGCAAGCGAGUGACCUCACACAUACAUCUUCAAACGUCGCUAUCUGACCGCAAAGAAUGUAUGCUCAACGCCACAUCUGUGCGUGU